UUUCUCUAGAUCUAGAUCUGGAGCAAACAUCAAUGAAAUUGAAAACACGCAGUGAUGAACACCGAUUUGAAGAAACCCUAACUGAAGGUAACCAGCCGGAGCCGAUUUUGAUGUUUAUAACUGGCCUUAUAGGAUGUUCUUGGCUUUUAAAAUCGAUAAACAAAUCGAAGCUAUUAGGAUGUUCUGUUUGAUUCUGUCCAAGCUGUUGAUUUCAAAACAUAAUGUAUGAUGUUUUUCCCUAAUUUUAUCCCCAAAUUUGUUAUGAUGGCUGUUCUUUCACUUCUGUUGCUUCAAUCGCGGCUUCUCCUUCAUUCCAGAAGUUUUAUGAGCAUUUGUCAAGCAAGGCGCGAAUAAGGCCCAGGAGUCCUUUACAAUCUGCAUACAAUGAAGACCUUGGCCAACGGCUACAGGCAAAGCUUCUAGCUGCUGAACAGAAAAGGUUGGAUGUUAUCGGACCAGACUGGUAGAGUAAAGAGCUUUAAACUAAGGGCUGGUCGAAUUUGUGUGCAUGUUGGCAUGCUUUUAGCAACCUGUGGAGAGGAUUUAGGACUGUGUUGGCUUGUUCGGGUCUUGGUGAAAGCUUGGUCAACACGAAGAGCGCGGCGGGUCAAAUAAGGGUCAACCGAGUCAAGUCAGAUAUGGGAAGGUGUGGUAGAAGCUGUUUAAGCCUUACUGGGUUACUGGGCUCCUGAUCAUUUUUUGUUCAAUUCUGUCAUGAAGCUCUUAAAUGGCCUCUUGAUCACCCGUUAACAAUCAAGAUGCUUCUUUUUGCUAUGUCGGUGAAUUGCCUUGACCCAGCUACCAGCUUUGAUUUUAGCUUGUGCAAAGGACUCUAGAGAGCCUUUCGUCAACCCAAUGUCAUCUGAUGGUAAAACGAAAGCGAAUGAUGCUAAAUCUCAGCUACUGGCAUCAUUAUAUGGCGGCCAUGGUGAUCAAUUGGCAACAAUAGCAGCUUUUGAGUGAUGGAAAAACACCAAACAAAUAGCUGAUGAUAGCAAUUGGCAUAUAUGUAAUCUGUUGUAAGUUUAGUUUAUAUACUUAUUCCCUGGCGGACACUAGCUCUUAUUGGUAAGUUUACGUCAAAUCUCAAUAGUUUCUCAUGGAUGUGGAAAUUUUGACCCGUUUAUUUACGAAUGGGUUGGUUUGGGUUGCGUUUUAUCUCAAACAGGUGAAAUAUAAAUUCUAAUUGUAAUAAUAUUUUUGUGGGUUUGUAAAAAAUCUGAUUUUGUUGAUGGGUUGGGAAUCUGUUUGGAUAUUUUGCAUGUUCUGUAAAAAACAAGAUUAUUAAAGAAAAAAAUAUAUGGUUUGAGUGCAGGGCAAGAAAAGGAGAGAUACAAUUUGUAUUGCACUUGCUGAUGACACCUGUGAAGAACCAAAGAUUAGGAUGAGUAGGGUUGUCAGGUCAAUUUUGAGGGUUAGACUUGGCGAUGUGGUUUCGUUGCAUCAGUAUGGGAAGCGCGUUCACAUCCUUCCGAUUGACGAUACGAUUGAAGGAGUUGCUGGGAAUCUCGUACUUUUUGGAAGCGUACCGCCCGGUGGGUGACUACUUUUUGGUAAGGGGAGAGAUCAUGUCGAAAAUGGCUGGGGGUACUCCAAGAACCGUUGGAUCAAAAAAAGAUAGUGCAGGUUCGACCAUUAACGAACCACCAGCUUGCUUUGGCUGGACGAAGUUAAAGUUAGGAACCCCGACAUAGCUCAGGGUAAAGUUCUCUGGCCAACAGCUUCCCCUGGUUAAUCACGGCUAGCCACGUUGCACUCUCCUUUGCAGUAAUCUUAUCCUGUAAACACAAGAUGGUUGACGACAUAAAGAAGACGCCGUACUGGUGAAUAAACAACUGGGUGGCAUUAGAAGAAUGGAGUAAAUUUGGUGACACAAAUCUUGGAAUAUAUAAAAUACAUUUCCAAUUUACUAAUGGACGGAUAGCCGACAAGUUACUAGCCAUUUCCAAUUUUAAAAGCGACAGGAAUCCAUUCAAUACUUCUAUAGUUACUGCCCACCUGCAUCCCCAAACACAACCCAUCCACGGGUUAGCGAUGCUAUUACAGAAGUUUGAUGUGGAGCUAAAAGGAUCUCCGGAUUCGGUGGAACUUAUCAUAGAAGCAACGAUUCAUACAAAAAGUUAGUUUUUCUUCAAAUUAAAUAAGAGAUCUCACACUCAUUAGCAGUAAAGUUUGCUUCUUUCUCUUGUUAUUAGCUUCUGAUUAAAUGGUGCAUGUGACCUUGAGUUUAUAUUUGGUUUUUUCAACAAUGGAACAAGUUCAAUCAUGUAAAACAGUUAUAAUUACUUAAGUUUUGUGAAUUA